UACGUAGGGGGCAAGCGUUGUCCGGAUUUACUGGGCGUAAAGAGCGCGUAGGCGGAAGUUUUAAGCGUAGCCUGAAAGCCCCCGGCUCAACCGGGGAGGGUGGCCGCGAACUGGACUUCUUGAGGGCGAUAGAGGAGAGCGGAAUUCCUGGUGUAGCGGUGAAAUGCGUAGAGAUCAGGAGGAACACCCGGUGGCGAAGGCGGGUCUCUGGGCCGAUACUGACGCUGAGGAGCGAAAGCGUGGGGAGCGAACAGG
rnacentral:rRNA from 1 species